rnacentral:rRNA from 1 species
CGGAGGGGGCAAGCGUUGCUCGGAAUUACUGGGCGUAAAGGGUCCGCAGGCUGUCAGGCAAGUUGGUUGUGAAAGCUCAAGGCUUAACCUUGGAAUUGCAUCCAAAACUGCCUGACUAGAGUCCAAGAGAGGUUGGCGGAAUUCCCGGUGUAGCGGUGAAAUGCAUAGAUAUCGGGAGGAACACCAGAGGCGAAGGCGGCCAACUGGCUUGGUACUGACGCUCAGGGACGAAAGCGUGGGUAGCAAACCGGAUUAGAUACCCGGGUAGUCCACGCCCUAAACGAUGGAUGCUAGGUAGGGGGAAUUUAUUUCUCCCUGCCGUAGUUAACGCAUUAAGCAUCCCGCCUGGGGAGUACGGUCGCAAGGCUGAAACUCAAAGGAAUUGGCGGGGGCCCGCACAAGCGGUGGAGCACGUGGUUUAAUUCGAUGCUAAGCGAAAAACCUUACCAAGACUUGACAUGUUAACUUAAGCCUAUACGAAAGUAUGUGGUGGUUCCGGGCUUACCCGGAACAGUUAUCACAGGUGCUGCAUGGCUGUCGUCAGCUCGUGCCGUGAGGUGUCCGGUUAAGUCCGGUAACGAGCGCAACCCCUAUCUUUAGUUGCCAUCACUUCGGGUGGGCACUCUGAAGAGACUGCCAGCGACAAGCCGGAGGAAGGUGGGGACGACGUCAAGUCAUCAUGGCCCUUACGUCUUGGGCUACACACGUGCUACAAUGGCUAGUACAAUGGGUCGCAAACUCGCGAGGGUGAGCCAAUCCCAUCAAAGCUAGUCUCAGUUCAGAUUGCAGGCUGCAACUCGCCUGCAUGAAGUUGGAAUCGCUAGUAAUCGUGGAUCAGCAUUGCCACGGUGAAUACGUUCCCGGGCCUUG